rnacentral:rRNA from 1 species
AUUGGACGCUGGCGGCAUGCCUUACACAUGCAAGUCGAACGGCAGCACGGGAGCAAUCCUGGUGGCGAGUGGCGAACGGGUGAGUAAAGUAUCGGAACGUGCCCAGCCGUGGGGGAUAACGUAGCGAAAGUUACGCUAAUACCGCAUACGAUCUAUGGAAGAAAGCGGGGGAUCGCAAGACCUCGCGCGAUUGGAGUGGCCGAUAAUAGAUUCGGUAGGUGGUGGGGUAAAGGCUCAGCAAGCCGAGGAUCUGUAGGUGGUCUGAGAGGACGGCCAGCCACACUGGGACUGAGACACGGCCCAGACUCCUACGGGAGGCAGCAGUGGGGAAUUUUGGACAAUUGGCGAAAGCCUGAUCCAGCCAUGCCGCGUGCAGGAUGAAGGCCUUCGGGUUGUAAACUGCUUUUGUACGGAACGAAAAGGUUUGGCCUAAUAAGCUGAGCUCAUGACGGUACCGUAAGAAUAAGCACCGGCUAACUACGUGCCAGCCGCCGCCGUAA